rnacentral:rRNA from 1 species
UACGAAGGGGGCUAGCGUUGUUCGGAAUUACUGGGCGUAAAGGGCGCGUAGGCUGUGCUGUAAGUCAGGCGUGAAAGCCCCGGGCUCAACCUGGGAAUUGCAUUCGAGACUGAAUAGCUAGGGUACGGUAGAGGGAAGUGGAAUUUCCGGUGUAGCGGUGAAAUGCGCAGAUAUCAGGAGGAACACCGGUGGCGAAGGCGGGUCUCUGGGCCGAUACUGACGCUGAGGAGCGAAAGCGUGGGGAGCGAACAGG